rnacentral:misc_RNA from 1 species
GUGAAUCAUCAAAUUUUUGAACGCAAAUUGCACUCCCUGGUAUUCCGGGGAGUAUGCCUGUUUGAGAAUCAGUAAAACAAAAAUCCAAGCUUCUCUCUUUUUUUUAAGGGUGAUCGCGUCUGAAUUGACCCGUCUUUCAAAUGUUAAUUGAUAUCAAAUUUUCUUAAAAUUCAUCCAUCCGGUACGACUAAAGCGUAUUUAAGAUCAGCUUGGAUGAAGUACGCGCGAGGACGUACCAUCU